UAGUAAGGUAAGCUAAAUACUAAGCUCUUGGGCUCAUGCCCCAAAAAUGUUGGUGAAAACCCUCCCCUUACUAUC
rnacentral:tRNA from 1 species